rnacentral:misc_RNA from 1 species
UUUACGUGCUGUCUCACUCCUUGCACCUGUAAUGGGCUCAGAAAUUACAUGUUCUAAACUGCUGCCACUGCUCAUCAUCGCAUCAAAAGACAGGGUACCGAACAUUAAGUUCAAUGUGGCAAAGAUUCUGUUGUCCCUCAUUCCCAUAGUUGAUCAAUCUGUAGUGGAGAAGACCAUCCGGCCCUGUUUGGUUGAACUGAGUGAGGAUCCAGAUGUUGAUGUCCGGUUUUUUGCCAACCAAGCAAUUCAGGCAAUCUAGCACUUCAGGCUAGAUGCCUUUUAUACACACGGCUGAACUUACAAAUUAUGAGUAUGACCAUUUUGCUGGAGGCGCCAUAUUUCUGUACAUCAGGUUAGUUCCCUUUCCCUUAAUACUUCCACUGUUCUAGGGCACUUUUUACACUUAUGAGCCUGUGACUAAAAUGUAACUGCCAUUUUUGGCUUUUAAUUUUAAGUGCUUUUGCCAAUAGUGUGCUUGAUAAGCCUGUCCAUGUAUUUUUCCCCCCCAUAUUUUCUUUAUUUAAUUCCCAUUAUAAAAAUAAAAAAUGGCAUUUUUUGUUUCAAGAUUUCCAUACUGCUUGGUUUCCUUCUGCAAGACUGGUUGGAGUCCUUAAAAGGCAGGUUCGGUGGAUUUUUAGCCUCCCUGUAAAUAAGGGAGCAUGUCUUUCCAGAUUUGGCUGGAAUUUAUGUAUUUUAUAAUUGGGGAUAUAUUGGGAUUUGUGAUCUAUAUUCUCGUGAUGAAAUGGAUGAUAGUGAAAUGUAUAUCUAUGGAGUGGAGUUCAAUUGUUAUGAGAUAAUAGCUAAAACAAAAAAACUUACACAAUUCGAUUUCAGACAUUAGAUUCUUUCUAAACGGCGGUGCUUUAUGUUCC